UCACUAAUCUAAACUUAACUACAUUCUUGGAGCCACAUUCUUGGAACGAAUUAUGCCUUUUGUUCACAGUCUAGAUGCUUCCUUUUUCAUACUUUGCAUCUCCAAAAGAUACUUGAGAAAGUAAACCAACGGAUUAUGGCAGCAAAGGAUGCCCCUUUGCUUUCACAAUGAAAACAAUAAUGGAGGACCACCUAGCAACUGUUUAAUACUGUCAGAACUCAGAAUACCACCAGAGAUAUGGGAAUCCUUGCUAGAACAGAAUAUUGGCUUGUUUAUAAGAGAAAACCGAGAGCCAAGUUUAGUUGAGAGUGUUUUUCUUAUGUUUGCUUUUGCAACACAUGCAAAUUGUGGUGCUCUCAAAGACGGCAAUCUCCAGCUUAUAUUCCAGCAGUUGGAAAAUUGCUUCUAGUGGCCGCUGCAUCAUGGAGAGCAGCCUGCUCAAUCACAUACAGCCACAAUGAUGGUGAAACCACCCUGAAUAGCUUCAAAUGGACUUCCACAUAUGAGGUUCUGAUCUUGGAGCAUGGGCCUGGGUUUUGGCCCUAUCAUGGGUGGGCCUGGGCCUCCCAUUUCAUCAGAUUCAUUCAUCUGAUGCUGUCUGGCUUUUCCAAGAGGUUUAUGCUCGUUAAAAUUUAUGGAAUGGUGUCUUUUGUUGGGCUAUUAGGAAAAAUGCACCUUUAAUUGUUGUAGUUCAAUAAAAUAUUUUAUCUAUUUUGUGUUGGUGGUUCUUUUUGCACCUUCUUCUGUUCUUUUCAACCCCUAAAUGAAAUUUAGGCUAAAUUCUAUAAAAAUCGGAAAUAAAAUUCUUCUCUGAAAAUUAUGGCGGUGCAAUGAAUUACUGGCUACAUGGCCUGGUAGCGUUUUAGUGUAUGAUUAGCUUAACGUUUUGUUUGCCUUGAACAGAUGUGGAAAUGGCUGAUGACAGUCGAACUAGGAGUACAUUGAAGCCUAUAGGGAAGAAGCUAAAGAAGAAAUUCAAACUGGCAAAGAACAAGCGCCGCGGUAAGGGGAAGAUCAGGAGGAAGCAUAUUUAACUCUGUAAACUGAUAAGGAUCAUGUGUUCAAGUUCUGAUAUUUGUUUGC
rnacentral:misc_RNA from 1 species